UACGUAGGUGGCAAGCGUUGUCCGGAUUUACUGGGCGUAAAGAGCGCGCAGGCGGUCAGAUAAGUCGAAUGUGAAAGCCCCCGGCUCAACUGGGGAGGGUCACGCGAUACUGGUCGACUCGAAGGCAGGAGAGGGUAGUGGAAUUCCCGGUGUAGUGGUGAAAUGCGUAGAUAUCGGGAGGAACACCAGUGGCGAAGGCGACUACCUGGCCUGUUUCUUGACGCUGAGGCGCGAAAGCUAGGGGAGCAAACGGG
rnacentral:rRNA from 1 species